rnacentral:lncRNA from 1 species
GUCGGCUCACGGCACCCGGGUCGGAGCAGUCGGUCAGACGUGCCUGGGGCCGAGUGUUUGCCACCCGCGUGCCCUCUUCCUCCAGGCACGGAGACGCUGGCAGCAGCUGGGUCAUGGAGCCCAUGUCACGCAGCGGCAGAGAGCAGGUGCUGGAAGGGAGAGUGAAUGGGCCUGACCAGGGGGUUCUCCCUUGUUCCUCUCCUGCUAGCAGCCUCCAGCAUGAAGGUCUAGGAGGGUCUGACUCGGAGGCCGGGCCCCUCGCUCCUGUGCUCCACAGCGACCGGUGCCCUUUUCAUCCAAGCGCGGGUCCGAUCCCUUGGUGAAUGUGGUCAAGCUCCAGAAACCCUUUCCCAGUCAGCCGCUCCGACAGCUGGAGAAGGGGUCUGCCACGGCGCGGGGGUGCACUUGGAGGACUGGCAGGGGCGAUCCAGGGCAAGGGGCUGUAAGCACGUGUGUGAAACACCCUGCGCACGCCUGAGUGCCGAAGGCAGACACGCACAGCAUCACAGCACCUCUGCAAGGGGUGGCCACCUCCCUUUGCAGCCCCUCCGCCAUGCCCCCCGACAAAGACCCGUGGGCACCGUGCUCCGACGCCCGAGCACCGAGGGCGAGGCGCUUCCGUGCUUGCUCAGCAGCCGGGCAAGCUGCGACUCCAGCGCUGUCGUGUCACACCUGGGAACAGCACCGGGGCGGCCGCACCCGGCCUGCAGCCGUCUGGCCGCUGGGUUUGGUGCCUUGCUGCGGGGCCGGAGCCGUUCGCGGGGCGGGGGGCAGCUCUCGGGCCCGCUCCGCGACGGCGCUGCAGACAGUGGCAAGAUUCGCGUCGCGCCUCCGGACCCUGGUGUUUCAUUAGCAGAGGCCCUCGCCUGCUCCGGACGCGCGCCCACACGACGGGGGAGGAAGACCAGCCCCUCUGUCUCUGCCUGGGAUGCUCCGCUGGCAGCUGCGGCCCCUCCCUCGGCUCUCGGAAGAAGGGGCUUAGCCCGCGAGCGCCAGCGUGGCGUCGUGAUGAGCGCGGGGCCACAGACACGGCCACGCGGCCGGGCAGCGGGGACAGGGCGCCGGCCUGCAGUCGGGGAGGCAGACGGGUGUGUUUGGUCCUCGCCCAUGUUGUGUAUGUGGUAUCUGCUCCCCGAGCACAUCGAUGCUGCGGCUGCCAGAGACCUCUUGGCAGCGCGUGCCGGUGCGGCUGUGCCAGACGCCUCCCCGGCACCGGGGGAAGACUUGCGUUUUGGUGCUCAAGAGAGCAAAGCCAAGCCUGAUUUGGAG